UUAUGAUUAGUGGCGCACGGGUGAGUAAUAUAUAGGUAAUGUACCUCUUAGUCUGGGAUAGCCACUGGAAACGGUGAUUAAUACCGGAUACUCCUUCUCUCUAUAAUUAGAGUUGGGAAAGUUUUUCGCUAAGAGAUCGGCCUAUAUCCUAUCAGCUAGUUGGUGAGGUAAUGGCUCACCAAGGCAAUGACAGGUAGCGGGUUUGAGAGGAUGAUCAGCCACACUGGGACUGAGACACGGCCCAGACUCC
rnacentral:rRNA from 1 species